CGAAGGAUGCAAGCGUUAUCCGGAAUCAUUGGGUUUAAAGGGUCCGUAGGCGGUUUAGUAAGUCAGUGGUGAAAGCCCAUCGCUCAACGGAGGAACGGCCAUUGAUACUGCCAGACUUGAAUUACUGGGAAGUAACUAGAAUAUGUAGUGUAGCGGUGAAAUGCUUAGAUAUUACAUGGAAUACCAAUUGCGAAGGCAGGUUGCUACCGGUGGAUUGACGCUGAUGGACGAAAGCGUGGGGAGCGAACAGGAUUAGAUACCCUGGUAGUCCACGCCGUAAACGAUGGAUACUAGCUGUUGGGAGCAAUCUCAGUGGCUAAGCGAAAGUGAUAAGUAUCCCACCUGGGGAGUACGUUCGCAAGAAUG
rnacentral:rRNA from 1 species